AUGAGAAGCUGGGCAGAGCUCCACAUUCAGGCAGCAAGACUGGGAGCAAGGAGAAGGCUGAGCUGCAAAUUGGCUGGAUCAUCACAUUCAGUGCCUCUGAGAAGCCCGUCACACAGAUCUUAUCUUAACAGUGGACGCAGAGUUGUUCAAAGUUUUCAGUCAAGCAGACGUGUACAAAACUCACCAUUUGAGAAGAUAACACAAGCCCAACCUACCCUUCUCCUACAGCCCCGUCAUUGCUUUCUCAGGUACUCCUCCUCCUCUGGCACCUCAGUCAACUCUCCCUAUUUCUAACAUUUACCCAUACAGAAGUAUUUGCCUCUCUUUCAGAGAAACACUGGUGGGUUUUGUACUUAUUAUCGACAUUCUUUGAUCAAUGCCUCUCUCCCACACGUGCAUGGGCGCUUAAUGAGGAAUCUUUUUUCUUUUUUUGCUAUUUUAUUUUUAGGGCCUAGCAUUUCUUCCAUAAAACACUUCCUAAAUACAUGGAA
rnacentral:lncRNA from 1 species